UACGAAGGGUGCAAGCGUUAAUCGGAAUUACUGGGCGUAAAGGGUGCGUAGGCGGUUGUUUAAGUCUGUCGUGAAAUCCCCGGGCUCAACCUGGGAAUGGCGAUGGAAACUGGGCAGCUAGAGUGUGUCAGAGGAUGGUGGAAUUCCCGGUGUAGCGGUGAAAUGCGUAGAGAUCGGGAGGAACACCAGUGGCGAAGGCGGCCUUCUGGACCAAUACUGACGCUCAUGCACGAAAGCGUGGGGAGCAAACAGG
rnacentral:rRNA from 1 species